UACAUGGGGUGCAAACGUUGCUCGGAAUCAUUGGGCGUAAAGCGCGCGUAGGCGGUUACUUAAGUCGAAUGUGAAAGCCCUCGGCUUAACUGAGGAAGUGCAUCCGAAACUGAGUAGCUAGAGUACGAAAGAGGGUCGCGGAAUUCCCGGUGUAGAGGUGAAAUUCGUAGAUAUCGGGAGGAACACCGGUGGCGAAGGCGGCGACCUGGGUCGAGACUGACGCUGAGGCGCGAAAGCGUGGGGAGCAAACAGG
rnacentral:rRNA from 1 species